GGCUGGUCCAAGUGCAACGGUGUUUACAACUAAUUGAUCACAACCAGUUACAGAUUUCCUUGUUCCUUCCCUCUCCCACUGCUUCACUUGACUAGCCUAAA
rnacentral:Y_RNA from 1 species